GGGGGACAUUGGGCGUGAUGGGGACACCGGCUUCCCUGGCAAUCCUGGCAGAAGGGGCAAGCGAGGCAGAGCUGGACAUCGGCCCCCAAGAGGCCCCAGCGGCCCCAAGGGCUCUCAAGGUGAACUGGGGCCAGCAGGACCAAAGGGCCCACAAGGAACACACGUAAGUAUUGAGCCCAAAAUUGGCCAGGCAGACCCAGAACCAGGCCAGGCAGGGGUUUUUCUGAGCCUGCUUUUACGAGGUGCAGAUUGUAAAAUACUGACAAACUUGCUAGCAGAGAGGAGUGGUCUUGUGAGGAAGGCACUUGGAAGAAUGAGGGUCAUAUCUUGGCUCUGAUGGAACCAUUUUGCCAGAAUCUGUG
rnacentral:lncRNA from 1 species